rnacentral:rRNA from 1 species
UACGAAGGGGGCUAGCGUUAUUCGGAAUUACUGGGCGUAAAGCGCACGUAGGCGGCUUUGUAAGUUAGAGGUGAAAGCCUGGAGCUCAACUCCAGAACUGCCUUUAAGACUGCAUCGCUUGAAUCCAGGAGAGGUGAGUGGAAUUCCGAGUGUAGAGGUGAAAUUCGUAGAUAUUCGGAAGAACACCAGUGGCGAAGGCGGCUCACUGGACUGGUAUUGACGCUGAGGUGCGAAAGCGUGGGGAGCAAACAGG